GUUCCGUUCCAGCAGCAAAAGGUUCCCAAAUCUUCCCCUCGACAGCUGACCAUCCGUUAGAAAUCGGACGGUUCAGAUGCUCCGAUGCGGUCCAUACGACCCCAAGCCGCUCGUCUCCCGGCUAAUUAAUCACCGUUGCAAGCUACUCUACUUCUUUUCUCCUUCUAAAUUAUUUAGAUAAAAUAUCAUUUUAACUCAUUUUACCAACAUUUUGGAUCGACCUAAUGAUCAAAGACAGAGGGGCCCAAAACCCCGUCGACGCGGCAGCAGCGAGCCAGCGAGGAAUCCGUGGAGAGCGGCGGCGGCAACGUCCGGAGGACGCCGACGACCAUUGCCCCGGGACGCAGUCUGAGGCCGCGGGGAAGGCGGAGGCGUGCGCGGGGCGCCCCAACCAGCAGGUCUGCAGCAAGGGACGGUGCCGAGAAGAUGUGCAAUGAAGUGGGGUCCCUUUCCUUUGGAAGGUGCCCAUGGAUCCCCAGCUCGGCAAGGCAGUGGAGGAAGGGAGGUCAUGUUUCACUGAUCGGAACUGCAGCGCAAGUGCUCUUGCUCUGAAACAGAUAAUGGAAACGCUGGGCACUCCACAGCAAGAAGAUAGCGUGACGCCAGUGCCGUGUGCUCCACUGUAUAUUACUACUACUUGCUAAGUGUUUUCGCGGGAAUAUUAGCUUAGGAUAAACUUCUAUCAUUGUUUGCAAAAUUGGCCAAAAUUCUGUAGGGCUCUGUUUUGAUUCCGUGAAAAGCUGUAGACUGUAGUAGCUGAGAGAUGCUACUUUAAAUCGGAAUCCUCCGUGCAAGCUUAAUGUUGCACCGGUGAAAGUUUGUGUUGAAA